rnacentral:rRNA from 1 species
AGAGUUUGAUCCUGGCUCAGGACGAACGCUGGCGGCGUGCUUAACACAUGCAAGUCGAACGGAGAUUUUAGCAAUAGAAUCUUAGUGGCGAACGGGUGAGUAACGCGUAGGCAAUCUGCCUUCUAGAUGGGGACAACAUCCCGAAAGGGGUGCUAAUACCGAAUGUUGUAUGAUCUUCGCAUGGAGAUGAUACUAAAGGUGGCCUCUGAAUAUGCUACCGCUAGAAGAUGAGCCUGCGUCUGAUUAGCUAGUUGGAGGGGUAACGGCCCACCAAGGCUUCGAUCAGUAGCCGGUCUGAGAGGAUGAACGGCCACACUGGGACUGAGACACGGCCCAGACUCCUACGGGAGGCAGCAGUGGGGAAUCUUCCGCAAUGGACGAAAGUCUGACGGAGCAACGCCGCGUGAGUGAAGAAGGUUUUCGGAUCGUAAAGCUCCUUCGUUAGGGACGAACGUGCUCUUUGUGAAUAAUGAGGAGUAAUGACGGUACCUAAAUAAGAAGCCACGGCUAACUACGUGCCAGCAGCCGCGGUAAUACGUAGGUGGCAAGCGUUGUCCGGAAUUAUUGGGCGUAAAGCGCGCGCAGGCGGGAUAUCAAGUCUGUCUUAAAAGUGCGAGGCUCAACCUCGUGAGGGAACAGAAACUGGUAUUCUUGAGUGUCGGAGAGGAAAGUGGAAUUCCAAGUGUAGCGGUGAAAUGCGUAGAGAUUUGGAAGAACACCAGUGGCGAAGGCGACUUUCUGGACGAUGUCUGACGCUGAGGCGCGAAAG